UGAAGCUCUAGAAGAUCCUAUGGCAACUAAUCAAACUCUCCGUUUUCGAAUCUCCUACCCGACCUCUAAACGACUCUCAUCUGUAAUCAAUCCCUUCUAAGAUCCACAUGUGAAUCCCAUGUGAGGUUCAAAUCUAUGGGGCCUUCUCAGCUGCUGUGUAGGCCUAGUAAAAAGGUGGUCUUUUCAAAAUCGACACUCGAAUCCCGAAAGGAGAGAUCAAGCUUAAGGAGUAAUGAACGCUCGAUGACAAAGACAGGAUGUAAUGCAUUUAGACAUGGACGGUAAGCAACCAUGCGCAACAAGGUGUGAGAUUCCCAAAGAUGCUGAGUGAAGAGGGAUGAGCUUCAUUUCACGUUACCAAGUCGAGAGGUAGAGAUGAAACUCACUGGGGUGUGGUUUAUGGUGUUGUGGAACACGGUCCAAUCGGGUUUUGUGUACUUCUUUGACACAAGUGUGCCUGCCUUCACCCUUGGAUCAGGAUUUUUUCACCGAACCCACAAGGUACCCACGGGUUAUUCGGGUCCGUAUCAAUCCCCCCCGUUUCCUCUCCCGCGAUAUGGAUGCUUUAAUGAGUUAAAGCAACUCGUGUUCUGUGAUCCUCCGGCUCCUCCCAUCACCAUUGUUGAACCCCCAACCGAGUCCAGAGAUGAUCCGAUUCCAGAGGACGAUUAUGAUUACAUUAUUCCCAGAAUUCAAGGCUAUGAGCCUAACAACCAUUUGUCACCUGACAUAAAAUCAUCACUGCAAGAGACGCUAGAAGAGCAAUUUGAAAUUGAUUUGAUCGUUUAAUUAAGCAAUAAAGCGGUGAAUGGUUUUGCUGAA